UACGGAGGGGGCUAGCGUUUGUUCGGAAUUACUGGGCGUAAAGCGCACGUAGGCGGCUUUGUAAGUUAGAGGUGAAAGCCCAGAGCUCAACUCUGGAACUGCCUUUAAGACUGCAUCGCUUGAAUCAUGGAGAGGUUAGUGGAAUUCCGAGUGUAGAGGUGAAAUUCGUAGAUAUUCGGAAGAACACCAGUGGCGAAGGCGACUAACUGGACAUGUAUUGACGCUGAGGUGCGAAAGCGUGGGGAGCAAACAGG
rnacentral:rRNA from 1 species